GGCGCAGCGCCGCCCAACUCACACGCACUUCCGAAGCGCCCGCAGUGCUACGCGACCGCUGGCCGGCAGGGGGUAUCGCGGCUGUGUGCCGUGCUGUGAUCUGCUUGUUUGAAGGCUUGUGCUGGCGGCUUGUAAAGCUUUUCCCCUGCAAUGGAGUCCUUGAAACAUCAUAAUGUGAGAUAAAGCAGAAGAAGCACAUCCACAGCAGGAUGGAAAUGUUACCAUCCAGGCACGCUCUUGGCAAGUUACAUUCUACACUUCCAGGAUUUCUAUAUAUGAAGAAGAUGACAGAGUAAGAAGACAACACUUUCCUUUGGAAUCUGCUUGUUUUCUGUGCUCCAAAGAAGAGGGAAAAAAACAGUUUAAUAUGUUAAUUUUCCCCAUGAGUUGUCAGGCAAUGCGUAAAAAAGGCUUUUUUAUGUUUACGUACAACCAUGCUUGAGAUGUUCUUACCUAUGAUAUCCAAUAAUUUCCAACUCUGGUACAGCUUCACAGAUAGCAGCUAUUCUAUAGUUGAGGACUGUGACUUAUUACUGCAAGUUCUUUCCUUUCCUCUGAAUCUGUGGAUCUUCAAUUUAAUAAAGCAAGCCUGACAUAACCUAGAGCAUUGGAUCUUGCCAGUAUCUAAUGUAAACAAGAUGGAAAGACAUGAGUAUUAAGCGUAGUGAUUGCUAGCAGGAAAAUAAAGGAGUUGCAGUGAUUUCUA